AAGAUACUUAAAAUGAGAGCUUCGGCAGGAUUUUUAUUUAUCUUAGUGGCGGACGGGUGAGUAACGUGUGGGCAACCUGCCCUAUACUGGGGAAUAAUCACUGGAAACGGUGACUAAUACCGCAUGUCAUUGCGGAAGGGCAUCCUUCUGUAAGAAAAGGAGUAAUUCGGUAUAGGAUGGGCCCGCAUCUGAUUAGCUAGUUGGUGAGAUAACAGCCCACCAAGGCGACGAUCAGUAGCCGACCUGAGAGGGUGAUCGGCCACAUUGGGACUGAGACACGGCCCAAACUCCUACGGGAGGCAGCAGUGGGGAAUAUUGCACAAUGGGGGAAACCCUGAUGCAGCAACGCCGCGUGAAGGAAGAAGGUUUUCGGAUCGUAAACUUCUAUCAACAGGGACGAAGAAAGUGACGGUACCUGAAUAAGAAGCCCCGGCUAACUACGUGCCAGCAGCCGCGGUAAUACGUAGGGGGCAAGCGUUAUCCGGAAUUACUGGGUGUAAAGGGAGCGUAGGCGGCACGCCAAGCCAGAUGUGAAAGCCCGAGGCUUAACCUCGCGGAUUGCAUUUGGAACUGGCGAGUUAGAGUACAGGAGAGGAAAGCGGAAUUCCUAGUGUAGCGG
rnacentral:rRNA from 1 species